AUUGAACGCUGGCGGCAGGCCUAACACAUGCAAGUCGAGCGAGCGGCGGACGGGUGAGUAAUGUCUGGGAAACUGCCUGAUGGAGGGGGAUAACUACUGGAAACGGUAGCUAAUACCGCAUACCAUCAGAUGUGCCCAGAUGGGAUUGGCUAGUAGGUGGGGUAACGGCUCACCUAAGAGACGAUCCCUAGCUGGUCUGAGAGGAUGACCAGCAAGACUGGAACUGAGACACGGUUCGGAUUCCUACGGCAUGGAGCAGGGGGGAAGAUUGCACAAUGGGCGUAAGUCUGAGGCAGCCAUGCCGCGUGUGUGAAGAAGGCCUGCGGGUUGUAAAGCACUGUCAGCGGGGAGGCGUUACCCGCAGAAGAAGCACCGGCUAACUCCGUGCCAGCAGCCGCGGUAAUAC
rnacentral:rRNA from 1 species